GCCAUAAAGCAUAGCACCACCAGCUAACCUCUGUUUGGUUCCUUGCCACAAGGCAGGCAUCUGACCUCCUAGUGACCAAGGCAAGGCCAGGCAAGCACAUGUUAGGCAAUUAUGGCUGCCGAAAUGGGGAGCUGGUCCCUUCAGCAUUUCCUUGAGAAUGCUGUAUGGAAGGGUAGUCCAAGGUGAAGGGAUAGAGUUAGUAAAAGCACAGAUGUAAGAAAGGGCUGCAGACAGCAACACUGGAGAUAACAGCAUUGCAGACCACAGCACUGGAGACCACAGCUCUGCAGAGGAUUGCAAUGGAGAGAACAGCACUAAAGACACUGCAGACAACAGCACUCCGGAGGACAGCCGUGCAAACGACAACGCUGGAGACGACAGCCUGGCUGGACUCCAGAGCAGCUCUGAGUGGGAGGAAGUGUGACAGGUGUGGCUGGAAAGAUCUCAAACAAGUUUCAAAAGACCAGGAACUGACACCAAGGAGUCCGAAGUAUGCCACUCAAGUUUGUAAGCUAAGUAAUAACAAGGCCAGAUUGCUAAACAGGAGAAAAAUACUCGUUUCCUUUUCAGUAACUAAAAAGCCCAACUUCCUCUAUUUUUCGGUGCCUUGACCCCUUCAUGAAAACAGACAAACAGCCCAGCCACAGGGAUCCUCCUUGCAAAGAGAAUUCGGGUUUCUCCUCUUGCUUUCUGGCAAGUGGCUUGGUGAAAGAAAUGAAGGCAUCGUGCAGCUGGGAAAACAGGAGUUUGUUUGGCUCUGAGCAAUGUGGGGAGUGCUGGUCUGGGCAGUGAGUCAGCUCCUUCCUGAAAGUCUAGGUCAAGGGAGUCCACACCACAGCCUUGUUUACCGGCUCUUGCUCUCACUGUCCAGAGCAUUGAUUCUGAUUACGGCAAAGGUGCAUGUGGUCACUGCUGGCCUAAAACCCUGCAAUUCCGUUGACAAACUGAUAUGACCAGGAUAGCUGUGACCCCAUUUUAAUACUCCAGUUUAUCUGUAAGAGCUGGAUGAAGAGUAGAGUGUUGUUUUCUCGUGGCUUGUGUUCCUGGUUGACCACAGUCAUGUGUGGGAUUGCUGGGAAGGAUCCUGCAAGCUGUUUGCUGGGCUGGCAGAUUUGGAGGGGAGAUGAUGAGUGACCUGUCUGAAGCAACUCCUUCAGCCCAGACACGAGGGGUGACAGCUAAUCAAUCAAGCCUGCUGAGGUCUGCCCCAGACAAGCCCUGUAGACUCCGGGAUGCCAGGGUGAAUGAGACAGUCUCUACCAGAGUCUAGGAACUGGCCCGAAAACUCAUUGGAGGGAGAGUUUAACUCUUAUGUUUACAUCCCCCAAACUGCCAGUGUGUACUAGGUACUUGAACAGGAUGGCAACCAUACUCUCAAACUGCCCACAGCCUUGAGAGAACACUAAAGUACUAUUCUGCCUGCAUCAGUGGGAGCAUCCCGAGACCCCCGGAGCCCCCACUGAAGUCCUCUACCCGGAUCCUCCUCUGGAGCCUGUGGAUCUCACUACCAAAUGCUGAACAGCUGGCAUCAGAGAGAUACUCCAGAGCUUUCCUCUAUCACUGACCAAUUCUUCCCGGUGAACUCUCCGCUUUUCUGCUGAUAAUAUCUGCAUGAGUCUGCUUCAGGCAGUAGUUAGUGGAGGUACAAGCCAUUCUUCAUGGGGCCAGAGACCAUGAUUGGAGGAAGGCAGCUGUUAGAUACUAAAAGACAGUCCAUAGCCUCCCCCAGAACCCCAGAAGCAGAAAUACUCCAUUCGGUCUGCUCCAAGCUCCUCCUGACUAUCAUGAGCACUGUUCACACUAGCACAGGAGGCAAGAGACUCUAGCAUCAUCUGCUACAAUAAUUAGAAUCUAGAGACAGAAAAUGAAUUUGAAAUGGUGUGAUACAUUGCCAUUUUAAGAGUUGAAUUAAUAUUUUGAAAAGAUGAUCUGAUUGGGAUAACCUCUAUUUUAUUUUAAUACUUUCAUUAUUUUGGAAUAGCAGUCCAGAUGAUUGCUGUCAGACAAUGCAAGUGCCCUGGUCUCAGACCACCUGUGAUGAGUCAUGAUUCAGGCCUACUUUAAAAGCACUUAGGGUACACCUCACAGAGGAGAAGGGAAUGCCUCUGUCUCUGUCCCUUGCAAACAGGCUGCUGAAAAUUUAGAAGCACUGCAAGGGGUCUUUGCCAUUCUGAAGAAGAGGAAGGAAAAGAGGGGCAAGGUGGAGAGAGCAAAGAAGAGUGUGGUGCAAGGGGGAAAGGGAGGUGUUUUCUCAGACUCACCUCAGACCUCCAAAAUACAGAUUUGUAGAAUGCUUGAGCUGGAAGGACAAUGUCCACUCUGAGUGCAUCAGAAAUUUCCCAGGCACUUCCUCAAUGAGAACCACAACAGUUUCCUGCAUAUGUGGGAGCUGUUCUUGGCUUGAGUGUCAUAAGGAAAAAGAAUGAAACAAUUAAAAAUGUCAAUGCUCUCCAGCUGUGAUUGACUUUGGCUUCCUAAAAAUCUCAGCUGGGCUGGUGAGAACAUGCUGGCUCGCUCAUGCCUCCUUGCACUUAAAGCACGUCCCAUUCAGAGAAAAUGCUUGGCAGGAGAGUACCUGCAGCUGCUCAUUGGUUUCAGCCUCUUUCUCCUCUUGAUUUGCUCAGCUCCGAGACAGACCCCACGCUACUUCCCAACCAGGCAUGUCCCAUGCUGUCCCACCAUGGGAUAGCCUCUGCUUGGUUUUCCUGUCUCAGGGGCCUCAAGACAGCUCAGAAGGCAAAGCCUGAUGAUAGAGUUCAAUCCCUGGAAUAUACUUGGCGAAAGGAGAGAACUGACUCCUGCAAGCUGUCC
ensembl:lncRNA